rnacentral:rRNA from 1 species
AUGAGGAUACGGGAGUGGCGAAAGGGUGCGUAACACGUGGGAAUUGUCUGAGAGUUCAGGAUAAUCGCUGAAAGGCGGAGUAAUACUGGAUGUGGAUAUUGGCUGGGAACGGCUGAUAUCGUAAAGCCGGGGACCGCAAGGCCUGGUGCUCUUAGGUAAGCCCGCGACCUAUCAGCUAGUUGGUGAGGUAAGAGCCCACCAAGGCGGAGACGGGUAGCUGGUCUGAGAGGACGACCAGCCACACUGGAACUGAGACACGGUCCAGACACCUACGGGUGGCAGCAGUCGAGAAUUUUUCUCAAUGGGGGAAACCCUGAAGGAGCGACGCCGCGUGGGGGAUGAAGGGCUUUCCGGCUCGUAAACCCCUGUCAUUUGUGAGCAAGUGUUAUUGUUUAAGAGAUGAUGACAUUGAUAGUAGCAAAAGAGGAAGGGACGGCUAACUCUGUGCCAGCCGCGGC